GGAUGAGCCCGCGGCCUAUCAGCUUGUUGGUGAGGUAAUGGCUCACCAAGGCGACGACGGGUAGCCGGCCUGAGAGGGCGACCGGCCACACUGGGACUGAGACACGGCCCAGACUCCUACGGGAGGCAGCAGUGGGGAAUAUUGCACAAUGGGCGAAAGCCUGAUGCAGCAACGCCGCGUGAGGGAUGACGGCCUUCGGGUUGUAAACCUCUUUCAGCAGGGAAGAAGCGAAAGUGACGGUACCUGCAGAAGAAGCGCCGGCUAACUACGUGCCAGCAGCCGCGGUAAUACGUAGGGCGCAAGCGUUGUCCGGAAUUAUUGGGCGUAAAGAGCUCGUAGGCGGUCUGUCGCGUCGGAUGUGAAAGCCCGGGGCUUAACCCCGGGUCUGCAUUCGAUACGGGCAGACUAGAGUGUGGUAGGGGAGAUCGGAAUUCCUGGUGUAGCGGUGAAAUGCGCAGAUAUCAGGAGGAACACCGGUGGCGAAGGCGGAUCUCUUGGGCC
rnacentral:rRNA from 1 species